rnacentral:rRNA from 1 species
UACAGAGGUCUCAAGCGUUGUUCGGAUUCAUUGGGCGUAAAGGGUGUGUAGGUGGCGCGCUAAGUCGGGUGUGAAAUUUCGGAGCUUAACUCCGAAACUGCAUUCGAUACUGGCGUGCUUGAGGACUGGAGAGGAGACUGGAAUUUACGGUGUAGCGGUGAAAUGCGUAGAUAUCGUAAGGAAGACCAGUGGCGAAGGCGGGUCUCUGGACAGUUCCUGACAGCUGAGACA